GAUGAACGCUGGCGGCGUGCCUAAUACAUGCAAGUCGAGCGAACGGACGAGAAGCUUGCUUCUCUGAUGUUAGCGGCGGACGGGUGAGUAACACGUGGAUAACCUACCUAUAAGACUGGGAUAACUUCGGGAAACCGGAGCUAAUACCGGAUAAUAUUUUGAACCGCAUGGUUCAAAAGUGAAAGACGGUCUUGCUGUCACUUAUAGAUGGAUCCGCGCUGCAUUAGCUAGUUGGUAAGGUAACGGCUUACCAAGGCAACGAUGCAUAGCCGACCUGAGAGGGUGAGCGGCCACACUGGAACUGAGACACGGUCCAGACUCCUACGGGAGGCAGCAGUAGGGAAUCUUCCGCAAUGGGCGAAAGCCUGACGGAGCAACGCCGCGUGAGUGAUGAAGGUCCUCGGAUCGUAAAACUCUGUUAUUAGGGAAGAACAUAUGUGUAAGUAACUGUGCACAUCUUGACGGUACCUAAUCAGAAAGCCACGGCUAACUACGUG
rnacentral:rRNA from 1 species